rnacentral:lncRNA from 1 species
UAACUGUGUACAUGUGUCUCCAGUGAGAUGACUUAAGAGCUGUCUUAGUCACGCCAUCCAUUGCUGGCAUAGAGUAAAACAACCAAAGGUGAUACUUUCUUUUUCAUGGUUAUGAUCGACUGCCAACAGCCUUAUAAAGAAAAAGCAACUUUUCUAGGGGUUUGUAUAAAUAGUGUUGAAAACUUUAUUUUAUGUAUUUGAUUUUAUUAAUAUUAUACAAUAUAUUUUGACGAAAUAGGUAUACUGUAAAUGUAUAAAUAUUUGAAUCCAAAUUAAAUAUAAUUUUUUAACUUACAUUCAUCAACACUUGGACAAAAAAAAUCUUAUUUUUUUUUUUCUGAAUACUGGUAAUGAGUGUUUAAAGCACACAUUAUCUGAGAUUCUCCAACAAAAAACUAGCAGUCUGAGAAACAGAAUCGUGUAAGACAAUGCAUUGUAUACCAACACUGAAUGUGUUGUUAUUUAACUUGAAACUAAUACCAAUGUAUUUAUGAGUUAAAAGCUAGUCAUCUUAAAUACAAAGGACAAGAAACUUUAUCAGCCAUCUUUCAGACUUAUUCAUAAACCUUUGCUGGCAUUAGUUUUCUGUUAUAACCACUCACCUGGAAAGAGGUGGUUGUAAAUGGUUUUCUGUGUCAUAUCAUUGGCAGCAGUAAUUAAAGCCAACAAGGGGUAAAAAGUGAAUGUUCUGAAAGCAGAGGAAAGAACCCAAAUGCUGCUUUCUUUUAUAUAUUCUUGAUGGUCUUACUGGGUGAAAAUAAAACUCUGCACUUUAAACAGUCAAGGUUGAAUAUGUUAAGGUUUAUCAAUCCAGUUCAUGUUCUGGAACAGUAAACAAGGCUAUCAUCAAGCUGUUAUAAUGUGAAAAAAAAAUCACAUCUCUCACCUGCUUGCAGGUCAUCCAAGUGUUUUUCUAGAGAUGUUAAUUUUGAGUUGCUGUUAUUUUUUAGACUCCUAAAAGUUGUUUAUAUCAAUGUAGAAAUGAAUUUCAAGCAAAGAUGAAGAAAUAAAAUUGUUCACGGCUAACACGAUUAUGUUAAGAAAGAUAAUAGAGUGGUUAGGACACCUCCCCUUUCUGAAGCAGGAAAAAAACAAUCUACAAAUGAUAUGUGUUAUUGUAUCAUCUUGUGUGCUGGGUAGAAUAACUUUUCUAAGCAUGACAACACUGAUAUGUCUUUUCAGUGUGCCAGUUAAUGCUGUUAGUGAACUCUAUCUACAAUUGCUUUGUAUGAGACUACAAUCUUCCGGAAUGCAAACACAGUAUAGAAUUUGUCUCAAAUAGUAUCUGUCAAAAAACUGUUUUAAAAAAACUGUCAGUUUUGUUAAGCUUAAUUGUUUGUGUGACCUUGGACAUUGAGAACUUUAGGAUGACAACCCCUCAAAUCUUAUUGGCUAUCCACAUUCUUCAGAAAAGUGGCAAAUAUUUCUUUUGUUUUAUGAAGCUUUCUGUGGGACCCUGGUGAUGUGAAGUCUGGUGUGUUUAAGGGACAAUUGGGUUCCCACUCUUAAGCCAUUGGACAGUCAUGGGUCUGCAACUCUGAAAGAUGGCUGCUCUUACAUGGCUAAAAGGGCAGGGCUUAACCUUCUCCAGGAUGCCUUGUGAUGUGAUGUGAGAGAGGCCUUGUAGUUGUCCUUACCCACAAUACCAUAUACAAUAACUGAUUCCUGUCAUUUCUGCUUUUGAGGCUUCAGUUUCAGUAAAAACGAUCAGCAAAGGCAUGCCUGUUACUGCUCUCCAAAGAAAAAAGAAAAAUUGCAGAACUAUUUGGAGAGGAAAGGAUAAGUUGUUUAUGAGGGGAAAGGAAAGACAUUUAUAUGACUAAUCUCCUGGGUACACAAGACCGAAAAUAGCGUUUAAAAGAGACUGUGCAUGUACCAGAACAAAGAACUUACAGCUCUCUGAAGAUUUAUUUUUAUUUUUAAAGUAGAGAUGGCUUUUGUUUGUACUUGGUAAUUCAGACACAAAAAUCUUAGUGAGGUAGUAAUGAAUACUCAACUUCCUUUUGACUGCUAACUGUAUCUGUGCUGGUUGCACUUUAGUUAGAUUACUUAAUAAAUCUUCUUGAACACUG